UACGGGGGGGGCAAGCGUUGUUCGGAAUUACUGGGCGUAAAGCGUGCGCAGGCGGUUUUGUAAGCCAGAUGUGAAAUCCCCGGGCUUAACCUGGGAAUGGCAUUUGGGACUGCAAGGCUGGAGUGCGGCAGAGGAGACUGGAAUUCCUGGUGUAGCAGUGAAAUGCGUAGAUAUCAGGAGGAACACCGGUGGCGAAGGCGGCUUUCUGGACAGAUACCGACGCUGAGGCACGAAAGCUAGGGGAGCAAACAGG
rnacentral:rRNA from 1 species